rnacentral:rRNA from 1 species
ACGAUGCAUAGCCGACUUGAGAGGGUGAUCGGCCACAUUGGGACUGAGACACGGCCCAAACUCCUACGGGAGGCAGCAGUAGGGAAUCUUCGGCAAUGGACGAAAGUCUGACCGAGCAACGCCGCGUGAGUGAAGAAGGUUUUCGGAUCGUAAAACUCUGUUGUUAGAGAAGAACAAGGAUGAGAGUAACUGUUCAUCCCUUGACGGUAUCUAACCAGAAAGCCACGGCUAACUACGUGCCAGCAGCCGCGGUAAUACGUAGGUGGCAAGCGUUGUCCGGAUUUAUUGGGCGUAAAGCGAGCGCAGGCGGUUUCUUAAGUCUGAUGUGAAAGCCCCCGGCUCAACCGGGGAGGGUCAUUGGAAACUGGGAGACUUGAGUGCAGAAGAGGAGAGUGGAAUUCCAUGUGUAGCGGUGAAAUGCGUAGAUAUAUGGAGGAACACCAGUGGCGAAGGCGGCUCUCUGGUCUGUAACUGACGCUGAGGCUCGAAAGCGUGGGGAGCAAACAGGAUUAGAUACCCUGGUAGUCCACGCCGU